GCCUUCGUAGCUCAGGGGAUAGAGCACCGCUCUCCUAAAGCGGGUGUCGCAGGUUCGAAUCCUGCCGGGGGCACAA
rnacentral:tRNA from 68 species